GCUGGCGUAGCUCAACUGGUAGAGCACCGGUUUUGUAAACCGGCGGUUGCGGGUUCAAGUCCCAUCGUCAGCU
rfam:Beta vulgaris subsp. vulgaris contig96259.1, whole genome shotgun sequence.